rnacentral:rRNA from 1 species
UUUAUGGAGAGUUUGAUCCUGGCUCAGAGUGAACGCUGGCGGCGUGCCUAAUACAUGCAAGUCGAACGAUGAAGCUUCUAGCUUGCUAGAGUGCUGAUUAGUGGCGCACGGGUGAGUAACGCAUAGGUCAUGUGCCUCUUAGUUUGGGAUAGCCAUUGGAAACGAUGAUUAAUACCAGAUACUCCCUACGGGGGAAAGAUUUAUCGCUAAGAGAUCAGCCUAUGUCCUAUCAGCUUGUUGGUAAGGUAAUGGCUUACCAAGGCUAUGACGGGUAUCCGGCCUGAGAGGGUGAACGGACACACUGGAACUGAGACACGGUCCAGACUCCUACGGGAGGCAGCAGUAGGGAAUAUUGCUCAAUGGGGGAAACCCUGAAGCAGCAACGCCGCGUGGAGGAUGAAGGUUUUAGGAUUGUAAACUCCUUUUGUUAGAGAAGAUAAUGACGGUAUCUAACGAAUAAGCACCGGCUAACUCCGUGCCAGCAGCCGCGGUAAUACGGAGGGUGCAAGCGUUACUCGGAAUCACUGGGCGUAAAGAGCGCGUAGGCGGGAUAGUCAGUCAGGUGUGAAAUCCUAUGGCUUAACCAUAGAACUGCAUUUGAAACUACUAUUCUAGAGUGUGGGAGAGGUAGGUGGAAUUCUUGGUGUAGGGGUAAAAUCCGUAGAGAUCAAGAGGAAUACUCAUUGCGAAGGCGACCUGCUGGAACAUUACUGACGCUGAUUGCGCGAAAGCGUGGGGAGCAAACAGGAUUAGAUACCCUGGUAGUCCACGCCCUAAACGAUGGAUGCUAGUUGUUGGAGGGCUUAGUCUCUCCAGUAAUGCAGCUAACGCAUUAAGCAUCCCGCCUGGGGAGUACGGUCGCAAGAUUAAAACUCAAAGGAAUAGACGGGGACCCGCACAAGCGGUGGAGCAUGUGGUUUAAUUCGAAGAUACACGAAGAACCUUACCUAGGCUUGACAUUGAGAGAAUCCGCUAGAAAUAGUGGAGUGUCUAGCUUGCUAGACCUUGAAAACAGGUGCUGCACGGCUGUCGUCAGCUCGUGUCGUGAGAUGUUGGGUUAAGUCCCGCAACGAGCGCAACCCCCUUUCUUAGUUGCUAACAGGUCAUGCUGAGAACUCUAAGGAUACUGCCUCCGUAAGGAGGAGGAAGGUGGGGACGACGUCAAGUCAUCAUGGCCCUUACGCCUAGGGCUACACACGUGCUACAAUGGGGUGCACAAAGAGAAGCAAUACUGCGAAGUGGAGCCAAUCUUCAAAACGCCUCUCAGUUCGGAUUGUAGGCUGCAACUCGCCUGCAUGAAGCUGGAAUCGCUAGUAAUCGCAAAUCAGCCAUGUUGCGGUGAAUACGUUCCCGGGUCUUGUACUCACCGCCCGUCACACCAUGGGAGUUGUGUUUGCCUUAAGUCAGGAUGCUAAAUUGGCUACUGCCCACGGCACACACAGCGACUGGGGUGAAGUCGUAACAAGGUAACCGUAGGUGAACCUGCGGUUGGAUCACCUCCUUUCUAGA